UCAGUAGGGUUGCCGCUACAGCUUACCUUAUUUGGUCAUAGCAUAUCUUUGACGCUUAGCAGAGGAUACAUUCCAUGUCAAAUCGAUCACGAUUUGGCCUAUUCCUUUUAAAAUAUUUAGAAUUUCUGGAAUUAAGUUAAAAAAAAUGAGAAGCCCGUUUAUUUUAGCUUACUAGUACACUUGAUUCCCGAGAUGUGCUAAACAAAGCGACUUUCGAAUCUGAUGUGAAAACCUUGGCGACAAAAUCGGCACUCGAAAUAUGCAUUUUUAGCAAAAAUUGAAAAUAGCGCCAUACGAAAUUGCAGAUUAUGGUCUUUGUAAACUAAUCCUGGCUACUAAACGUUU